AUACGGAAGGUCCGGGCGUUAUCCGGAUUUAUUGGGUUUAAAGGGAGCGCAGGCGGAGAUGCAAGCGUGACGUCAAAUUUCGGGGCUCAACCCCGUCUCGCGUCGCGAACUGCGUCCCUUGGUUGCGGGCAGGGGAGGCGGAAUGCGUUGUGUAGCGGUGAAAUGCUUAGAUAUGACACAGAACUCCGAUUGCGAAGGCAGCUUACUAAACUACUACUGACGCUCAGGCACGAAGGCGUGGGGAUCAAACAGGAUUAGAUACCCUGGUAGUCCACGCAGUAAACGAUGAUUACUCGCUGUUUGCGAUACACAGUAAGCGGCUUAGCGAAAGCGUUAAGUAAUCCACCUGGGGAGUACGUUCGCAAGAAUGAAACUCAAAUGAAUCGACGGGG
rnacentral:rRNA from 1 species